AGUUUAGAUUGUGCAGUCCAACCCUAGACACAGGGACAGGAACUGCAUUAGGGAUAAAAACCACUUCUCUCCUUUGUUCAGUGUGCUCUUGCAAUCGUAACUGAUGCAGGCAGCACCCUUCUGCAGAAGCAAAUUGCCUUGCUGAGAAAAAUUUUGCGUAAGUGCUGGUUCUUCCCUGCAGCACCGAGCAUUUGUUUCCAACAAGCCUGGGGGCUCAUCUGGGAUUCCCAUUCUCCUCCAGGGAAGGGUCUCAGAUCACCUCUUGUGGGGAGAUACAUCCAGCUGCCUCAUUGUGGUGGUCUCAGGGGUAAGGAAUCGAGACCCAACCAGCGUGACAAAUAAACAUGGAUCCUCAGCAACAUGGGAAGAAAAGGCCUACAGAUACCGGGGUGACCAGGUAACUCUAUGCACAGACCAAGAGGCCCAUAAGUGGGUAAAUGUUCCUAAGGACAAAGAUAUCUAUAAAUCUGCAGAGUGUACAUCUGUAAGAAUAGAAGACUGAUUCCUCGCUCACAUCCUCACUGAUCUAAUAACUACUCUGGCUUCCAAGAUGCUUCAAAAACUAAACUCAGCAAAAAGUGCAGACCAAAUAUGUGGCAGAAGUUGAACUGAGCUCGUUAAGUUUCAUAUUAUGUAUAUCCUUUAAUAUAGCCUUUUAAUGCCAA